rnacentral:rRNA from 1 species
AUGAACGCUAGCUACAGGCUUAACACAUGCAAGUCGAGGGGCAGCAUGGUCUUAGCUUGCUAAGGCCGAUGGCGACCGGCGCACGGGUGAGUAACACGUAUCCAACCUGCCGUCUACUCUUGGACAGCCUUCUGAAAGGAAGAUUAAUACAAGAUGGCAUCAUGAGUCCGCAUGUUCACAUGAUUAAAGGUAUUCCGGUAGACGAUGGGGAUGCGUUCCAUUAGAUAGUAGGCGGGGUAACGGCCCACCUAGUCUUCGAUGGAUAGGGGUUCUGAGAGGAAGGUCCCCCACAUUGGAACUGAGACACGGUCCAAACUCCUACGGGAGGCAGCAGUGAGGAAUAUUGGUCAAUGGGCGAGAGCCUGAACCAGCCAAGUAGCGUGAAGGAUGACUGCCCUAUGGGUUGUAAACUUCUUUUAUAAAGGAAUAAAGUCGGGUAUGGAUACCCGUUUGCAUGUACUUUAUGAAUAAGGAUCGGCUAACUCCGUGCCAGCAGCCGCGGUAAUACGGAGGAUCCGAGCGUUAUCCGGAUUUAUUGGGUUUAAAGGGAGCGUAGAUGGAUGUUUAAGUCAGUUGUGAAAGUUUGCGGCUCAACCGUAAAAUUGCAGUUGAUACUGGAUAUCUUGAGUGCAGUUGAGGCAGGCGGAAUUCGUGGUGUAGCGGUGAAAUGCUUAGAUAUCACGAAGAACUCCGAUUGCGAAGGCAGCCUGCUAAGCUGCAACUGACAUUGAGGCUCGAAAGUGUGGGUAUCAAACAGGAUUAGAUACCCUGGUAGUCCACACGGUAAACGAUGAAUACUCGCUGUUUGCGAUAUACUGCAAGCGGCCAAGCGAAAGCGUUAAGUAUUCCACCUGGGGAGUACGCCGGCAACGGUGAAACUCAAAGGAAUUGACGGGGGCCCGCACAAGCGGAGGAACAUGUGGUUUAAUUCGAUGAUACGCGAGGAACCUUACCCGGGCUUAAAUUGCAGAUGAAUUACGGUGAAAGCCGUAAGCCGCAAGGCAUCUGUGAAGGUGCUGCAUGGUUGUCGUCAGCUCGUGCCGUGAGGUGUCGGCUUAAGUGCCAUAACGAGCGCAACCCUUGUUGUCAGUUACUAACAGGUUCCGCUGAGGACUCUGACAAGACUGCCAUCGUAAGAUGUGAGGAAGGUGGGGAUGACGUCAAAUCAGCACGGCCCUUACGUCCGGGGCUACACACGUGUUACAAUGGGGGGUACAGAGGGCCGCUACCACGCGAGUGGAUGCCAAUCCCAAAAACCUCUCUCAGUUCGGACUGGAGUCUGCAACCCGACUCAACGAAGCUGGAUUCGCUAGUAAUCGCGCAUCAGCCACGGCGCGGUGAAUACGUUCCCGGGCCUUGUACACACCGCCCGUCAAGCCAUGGGAGCCGGGGGUACCUGAAGUGCGUAACCGCGAGGAGCGCCCUAGGGUAAAACUGGUGACUGGGGCU